AGUCUUAUAGUCAAAAAUGAUUUAAAAUUGCAAAUUUUAAGGUAUAUUAUAUUAAUAUAUUAAGGCUU
rnacentral:tRNA from 4 species